GCAAAGGUAAAAACCAUGUGUUUGACCACCAUUUUCAUGCUGACAUGUGCUGCCUUUAUUCAAGGAUCAAGCAGUCAGGUCACUGUGACUCAGACUCCUUCAUUGAAAACUGUCAAUGUAGGAGAAUCAGUGAGUCUGGGAUGCAAAUUGAGUCAACCUACUUCUGGCAGCACUCCCUAUGUUGCCUGGUACCAACAGAAACCUGGAGAAACUCCUAAACUCCUCAUUUAUUGGACAAACCGUCUUCAGUCAGGAACUCCAUCGAGGUUUAGUGGCAGUGGGUCUGGGACUGUCGUCACCAUGACCAUUAGUGGAGUCCAGGCUGAGGAUACAGCAGUUUACUACUGUCAGAGUGAACACAAUAUCAAUAGUCAGGAUGUCCUUCUCUCUUCAAAAACUGACAUCGACUCUGAGGUCAGCCAUCACCUCAGUUUUGUGCCACUCGCUCUUUUGUCUGACGCAGGAAAAGAGUGUUUGAAGACUCAGACCUAA